GACGAACGCUGGCGGCGUGCUUAACACAUGCAAGUCGAACGGUGAAGCGCCUUCCUUUUUGGUGGGUGUGGAUGAGUGGCGAACGGGUGAGUAACACGUGAGUAACCUGCCCCCUUCUUCUGGAUAACCGCAUGAAAGUGUGGCUAAUACGGGAUAUUCUGGGUCUGUCGCAUGAUGGGUCUGGGAAAGAUAUUGUUUCGGUGGGGGAUGGGCUCGCGGCCUAUCAGCUUGUUGGUGGGGUGAUGGCCUACCAAGGCGGUGACGGGUAGCCGGCCUGAGAGGGUGGACGGUCACACUGGGACUGAGACACGGCCCAGACUCCUACGGGAGGCAGCAGUGGGGAAUAUUGCACAAUGGGCGCAAGCCUGAUGCAGCGACGCCGCGUGAGGGAUGGAGGCCUUCGGGUUGUGAACCUCUUUCGCCAGUGAAGCAGGCCUGCCUAGUUUGUGGGUGGGUUGACGGUAGCUGGAGAAGAAGCGCCGGCUAACUACGUG
rnacentral:rRNA from 1 species